AUUGAACGCUGGCGGCAGGCUUAACACAUGCAAGUCGAGCGGGGGAAGGUAGCUUGCUACCGGACCUAGCGGCGGACGGGUGAGUAAUGCUUAGGAAUCUGCCUAUUAGUGGGGGACAACAUCUCGAAAGGGAUGCUACUACCGCAUACGUCCUACGGGAGAAAGCAGGGGAUCUUCGGACCUUGCGCUAAUAGAUGAGCCUAAGUCGGAUUAGCUAGUUGGUGGGGUAAAGGCCUACCAAGGCGACGAUCUGUAGCGGGUCUGAGAGGAUGAUCCGACACACUGGGACUGCGACACGGCUCAGACUCCUACGGGAGGCAGCAGUGGGGAAUAGUGGGCAAUGGGGGGAAACCUGAUCCAGCCAUGCCGCGUGUGUGAAGAAGGCCUUAUGGUUGUAAAGCACUUUAAGCGAGGAGGAGGCUACUCUAGUUAAUACCCAGGGAUAGUGGACGGUACUCGCAGAAUAAGCACCGGCUAACUCUGUGCCAGCCGCCGCGGUAA
rnacentral:rRNA from 1 species